AAAAAAUUAGUUAAUGAUAUAACAUAAGCUUGUCAAGCUUAAGUAACUAAGAAAAUUAGUAUUUUUUG
rnacentral:tRNA from 1 species